AUGUAGUAAAACUCCAGUAAUACCAAGUGGUAUGUUAAAUCUAAGAUAUAAUCUGAAACAAGUCUUUAGCAACCUCUUCUUGACCUUGGUCUUCACUGAAGAGGUCAAAAAAUAAAGAUUUACAGGUAUCCAAAGGGGAUGGGUUCCAGAACCCUCUGAAGAUAACGUCUGUAGAUGCUCAAGUCACUCAACUGCCCCAAAGGCAUAGUAUUUGCAUAUAAUACUAUGUACAUCCUCCAGUAUACUUUAAAUAAUCUCUAGAUUGCUUGUAAUACCUGCUGCAAUAUAAAUGCUAUGUAAAUAGUUGUUAUACUCUUAUUUUAAAAUCUGUAUUAGUCUUUACUAUUAUUUUUUACUGUUUUCUUGCCCCCAAAUAUUUAUGAUCUGUGGUUUUGAAUCUGCAGAUGCAGAACCAUGUGUAUGAGGACUGUAUAUUUCAAAACUACCUUUAAAAAUGAAAAAGGCCAGAGCAGGCUUGAGCAAAUUUUCAGGUAACACUGAUUUCUUCUGUGUAAGAAGGCACAAACUUAGGAUAAGUGGCAGGAAACAACUAAGUGCUAAUAUAAGUGAUUUAAAAAGUCACAACUGCAUGGUAAAUGCUGGGUAAUAAAUAUGUCUACAGAUGUCGGGCGCGGUGGCUCACGCCUGUAAUCCCAGCACUUGGGGAGGCCGAGGUGGGCGGAUCACGAGGUCAACAGUGAAACCCCGUCUCUACUAAAAAUACAAAACAUUAGCCGGGUGUGGUGGCGGGCACCUGCAGUCCCAGCUACUUGGGAGGCUGAGGCAGAAUUGUGUGAAGCCAGAAGGCAGAGGAUGCAGUGAGCCGAGAUUACACCACUGCACUCCAGCCUGGGAGACAGUGAGACUCUGUCUCAAAAAAAAAAAAAAAAAACAAAAACUGUCUACAGGAAUCAGGUGUUAAUACACUUAGAAAUAUUAGGAUAAGCUAUUCACAAUCCAGGAAAAAGAUUUAGAUACCACUUAAAAAUAUUUCCAGAAUUAUCUAAGGCCCAAAAAAGUUUUAAAAUUCUGGAUACCACUUAAAACAUACAGGAAACAAAAAGUCUAUAUUAAGAAAAACACCUCAGUAUAGUCACCCUGAUGAAGGUACAGAAGUCAAUUCUAGAAUUUAAAAGGACAAACAGGUUAUUGUUUAAAAAAGAUACAGCAAGAAAAACAGACUUCUCACUACUUAAUGCUCAUUGAUCAACACUUGUCAUCAACAUUAUUUAUUUUAUUAUUAAAACAUAUGAGGUUGGGAAGAGCCAUUCCAAGUAAAUACAAAUAUUCUAAAAUAUACAUCUUCCAAGAUUCAGCACUUCUUACAUUCAUCACAGUAACUGUUUCCACAGCAGGGAAUCACAACAGCAUCAGUCAUAAUAUCCUUGCAGAUGAGACACAACAAUUCAUCUGGGAUAGGAUCAUCUUCUUCUGAGGAAGAAGAUGGCUCCUCUGGUAAGAAGGGAGGUUUCUCUUUCUUCCCAAUUGCAUAUGCUUCUCUGUAAAAGAAAGUUUUCAUGUUUUACCAUUGUUAAGAAGGCAGAGUACUCAUGCUACAUGUUCUACUAUAACAUAAUGGGAACACAUAAUUCAGCGCAAUGCCAAAUUAGUUUAGACAAGCACCAUAUCUUCUAAAAUAAGGGAGUAAUUAUGUACAACCUAACCCUAAACAAAGACACAAAAGUCUAAACAAGCAUAACAAAAAGAAGCAAAGAAAUGCUACAAAAACAAUAAAAGGAUCUUAGAACCCGUCACUCUUAAGAACUGAGGGCCAGAAAUAAAGCGAAAUGUUCUGUGCCAUAAAGUUCUAUUUAAGUGACAAAGACAAGACUUGAAUUUAGACAACACCAUAAUCACAAUUUUCGGUGUUACAAAAAUGUAAAGUAACACCUCAUUAGACAUUCUAGGUCCAGUUUUUUGUAGAAAUGCAUUUUGCAGAAAUGUUGGGCAUUAAAUAUAGUAUUAAAAAAUAAAAAUAGCUAUUCUCAGACUUGUCACCACUGCUUCUACACCCCCAUCUUCUCUGUAAUCAGGCAAAUUUGCAAAACACAGGAAUCCCUAGAGAAACCCUUUCUAUUUCAUUCAGGAACAGAGUGUGUUUAUCUCAAUGCUGAAAAUGAAAGAAUCUCGGCUGUACAGAGUAGGGUACCUUAGGUGUGUUAUUUGUGUUGCAGUUGCUCCAUA
rnacentral:lncRNA from 1 species